rnacentral:rRNA from 1 species
AGGGAAUUUUCGGCAAUGGGGGGAACCCUGACCGAGCAACGCCGCGUGAAUGACGAAGUACUUCGGUAUGUAAAGUUCUUUUAUUAAGGAAGAAAGUGCAGUGGAAAAGCUGUAUUGACGGUACUUAUUGAAUAAGCCCCGGCUAACUAUGUGCCAGCAGCCGCGGUAAUACAUAGGGGGCAAGCGUUAUCCGGAAUUAUUGGGCGUAAAGGGUGCGUAGGCGGCCUAUUAAGUUUAAGGUGUAAGUGCAAGGCUCAACCUUGUGAUGCUUUAGAAACUGGUAGGCUAGAGGACAGUAGAGGCAAGUGGAAUUCCAUGUGUAGCGGUAAAAUGCGUAAAUAUAUGGAGGAACACCAGUGGCGAAGGCGACUUGCUGGGCUGUGACUGACGCUGAGGCACGAAAGCGUGGGGAGCAAACA